UGUAUACAUAAAUAACUUGUUUUGGCUGUUAAGCGUAUCUUUAGGCACGUAAAAAGUAAGUAAAUCGCUCUAGAAAUCUGAAGAAUGCUUACUCGGCAAACCCAUCAGUUUGGGUUUGGAGAAGAAAUUUCAACGAAAACGUCUUGUGAGAACUUGAAGACAUGAGUAGACGAAAGUGCCUGGCAAAUCCCACUGAUGUGCUUUGUGCGUCUGAACAGCCAGCCUGCCACCCUGCCCAGCCCUCACCCAAAAACAUCACAAGAUGAAGG